AGGGAAUCUUCCACAAUGGGCGAAAGCCUGAUGGAGCAACGCCGCGUGAGCGAAGAAGGUCUUCGGAUCGUAAAGCUCUGUUGUAAGGGAAGAACAAGCGCAGCAGUCACUGGCUGCGCCCUGACGGUACCUUACUAGAAAGCCACGGCUAACUACGUGCCAGCAGCCGCGGUAAUACGUAGGUGGCAAGCGUUGUCCGGAAUUAUUGGGCGUAAAGCGCGCGCAGGCGGUCUCUUAAGUCUGAUGUGAAAGCCCUCGGCUCAGCCGGGGAGGGUCAUUGGAAACUGGGAGACUUGAGUGCAGGAGAGGGAAGCGGAAUUCCAUGUGUAGCGGUGAAAUGCGUAGAGAUAUGGAGGAACACCAGUGGCGAAGGCGGCUUCCUGGCCUGUAACUGACGCUGAGGCGCGAAAGCGUGGGGAGCAAAC
rnacentral:rRNA from 1 species